UGGACAGCCCAGGAGAGUGAAGUCCUCUGUUUAGUCACAGAGCAGGUACAGCAGCCAUCAACGUCUACUCAGAGCUAAUGGGACCACCAGCUAGGAACGAAAGGCUGGCUAAUGGCUGCACUGGCUUUUGAUGAGCACGGGGAGCCUCCAGAGGUGUUAGGGGCCAGUUCAAGUGGCCUCCUGCUCGGAGUGUUUCGCUUCU
ensembl:misc_RNA